AAAGAGUUGAAGGCAAGAAGGUACACAUGAAAUAUAGGCAUUGAAAAUGAAGCUUUACUACUUGGGGUACUGCAUCUUUAUUCUGCUGCUUGUCUCCUCAGUGAAGAUUAUGGGGAAAGAGGUUGGAGACAUUGGAAGGUGCCUCGAAGUCAUGGACUCUGGUGGCUGUAGUCUCCCAUCUUGCAAGCAACUCUGCCUUCAGCAAAAGAAUGGAAAUGGAAUGUGUCUGGCCAAUGUUAGAGAGCACUAUCAAUGUGUUUGCUAUUACAAUUGUUGAGCUUUUACGUUUGUUGAAGAAGUGAAGUAGUUCAUGAGGUCCAACUUUCAAUUGUUCCAACAAAAGUGUAAUUAUCUUAUGAUUUCUCUUGGCUGCGUAUGUGAUAUGUGUUUUCUUUCUUCUUAGUGGAAAGGGUUAAUAAUGGCCUAAUCAA